CCAACGCCAGUGACUGUUCCUCCACUGCCUAUUCCCAUUACAAAGAUAUCAACUUGUCCAAGAGUAUCCUCCCAUAUUUCAGGCCCUGUCGUUUCAAAAUGGAUCUGUUUUCCAUUUCAAGUUCAGACUUCAAUUUAGUGUUUACUAAUCAAGGUACCAAGAAACUUGUUAAAGUGAUCCGAUGUAUAGAUAGAUUAUAUUUAUAUAUACCUUACUAUUUGCAGGAUUCGAAAACUGUUGUAGCAUGUAAGCAUUUGGUGUGGUUUCCAAAAGAUCAUAGGCCUUCUUAACUGUUCCUCCCAUCCCCUUGGUGGGAUCAGUGAGAAUUAGCUCAGCUCCAAAUGCCCUCAUAGUCACCCUUCUUUCCAAGCUUGUGUAAGAGGGCAUGGUUAAAAUCAUCUUGUAUCCUUUCAUGGCUGCCAUAAAAGCCAUACUAAUCCCCAUAUUACCAG
rnacentral:lncRNA from 1 species